rnacentral:tRNA from 1 species
GCGGGAGUAGUUCAAUUGGUUAGAGCGCUGGCCUGUCACGCCGGAGGUUGCGGGUUCGAGCCCCGUCUCUCGCG